CCUACGGGUGGCAGCAGUGAGGAAUAUUGCACAAUGGCCGUAACGCUGAACCAGCGACGCCGCGUGAAGGAAGAAGGAUCUCUGGUUUGUAAACUUCUUUUAUAGGGGAAUAAAGGUACCCACGCUUGGAUAUUUGCUCGUACUCUCUGAAUACGCACAGGCGAACUCCGUGCUAGCAGCCGCGGUUAUACGGAGGGUGCGAGCGUUAUCCGGAUUUAAGGGGUUUAAAGGGUGCGGAGGUGGUUGUUUAAGUCUGCGGUGAAAGUUUGUGGCUCAACCAUGAAAUUGCCGUUGAAACUGGAGGGCUUGAGUGUAGUAGAGGUAGGCGGAAUGCGUGGUGUAGCGGUGAAAUGCGUAGAUAUCACGCAGAACUCCAGUGGCGAAGGCAGCUUACUGGGCCAUAACUGACGCUGAGGCACGAAAGCGUGGGGAGCAAACAGGAUUAGAUACCCGUGUAGUC
rnacentral:rRNA from 1 species